CACGUAGGGCGCAAGCGUUGUCCGAAAUUAUUGGGCGUAAAGAGCUCGUAGGCGGUCUGUUGCGUCCGCUGUGAAAACCCGGGGCUUAACCCCUGGCUUGCAGUGGAUACGGACAGACUAGAGGUAGGUAGGGGAGAAUGGAAUUCCCGGUGUAGCGGUGAAAUGCGCAGAUAUCGGGAGGAACACCGGUGGCGAAGGCGGUUCUCUGGGCCUUACCUGACGCUGAGGAGCGAAAGCGUGGGGGGCGAACCGG
rnacentral:rRNA from 1 species